rnacentral:rRNA from 1 species
GACGAACGCUGGCGGCGUGCUUAACACAUGCAAGUCGAACGAAGUGGCGAACGGGUGAGUAACGCGUAAUUAACCUGCCCUUCAGAGGGGGACAACAGUUGGAAACGACUGCUAAUACCGCAUACUGAAGGAGGGGGUUGCGUCUGAUUAGCUAGUCGGUGGGGUAACGGCCUACCGAGGCUAUGACGCGUAACUGGUGUGAGAGGAUGAUCAGUCGAAUUGGAACUGAGACACGGUCCAGACUCCUACGAGAAGCAGCGGUAGGGAGUAUUGCGCAAUGGGGGAAACCCUGACGCAGCAUCGCCGCGUGGAGGAUGACACUUUUCGGAGCGUAACCUCCUUUUAUUAGGGAAACGGUACCUAACGAAUAAGCACCGGCUAACUCCGUGCCAGCCGCCGCGGUAAUAC